GAAAUGCGAUAAGUAGUGUGAAUUGCAGAAUUCAGUGAAUCAUCGAAUCUUUGAACGCACAUUGCGCCCCUUGGUAUUCCAUGGGGCAUGCCUGUUCGAGCGUCAUUUGUACCCUCAAGCUCUGCUUGGUGUUGGGUGUUUGUCCCGUCUCCGCGCGUGGACUCGCCCCAAAGUGAUUGGCAGCCGGCGUACUGGUCCCGGAGCGCAGCACAUGUCGCGCAAACGAGUGCCUUGGUACGGCGGCGUCCAUAAGCCCCUCUCUCACGCUCUUGACCUCGGUUCAGGUAGGGAUACCCGCUGAACUUAAGC
rnacentral:misc_RNA from 1 species